rnacentral:rRNA from 1 species
AUUGAACGCUGGCGGCAUGCCUUACACAUGCAAGUCGAACGGCAGCACGGGGGCAACCCUGGUGGCGAGUGGCGAACGGGUGAGUAAUGCAUCGGAACGUGCCCCGUACGCGGGGGAUAACCAGUCGAAAGACUGGCUAAUACCGCAUACGCUCCACGGAGGAAAGCAGGGGAUCGCAAGACCUUGCACUAUGGGAGCGGCCGAUGCCCGAUUAGCUAGUUGGUGAGGUAAAGGCUCACCAAGCGACGAUCGGUAGCUGGUUUGAGAGAACGACCAGCCACACUGGGACUGAGACACGGCCCAGACUCCUACGGGAGGCAGCAGUGGGGAAUUUUGGACAAUGGGCGCAAGCCUGAUCCAGCCAUGCCGCGUGCGGGAUGAAGGCCUCGGUU